rnacentral:sRNA from 1 species
GCUGGGCACAGUGGCUCAUGCCUGUAAUCCCAGUGACUUGAGAGGCUGAGGCAGGAGGAUUGAGAAUUCAAAGCCAGCCUCAACAACAGAGAGGCUCUAAGCAACUCAGUGAGACCCUGUCUCUA